UACGUAGGGGGCAAGCGUUGUCCGGAUUUAUUGGGCGUAAAGAGCGUGUAGGCGGCCAGAUAGGUCCGUUGUGAAAACCCGAGGCUCAACCUCGAGACGUCGGCGGAAACCCUCUGGCUAGAGUCCGGAAGAGGAGAGUGGAAUUCCUGGUGUAGCGGUGAAAUGCGCAGAUAUCAGGAAGAACACCCGUGGCGAAGGCGGCUCUCUGGGACGGUACUGACGCUGAGACGCGAAAGCGUGGGGAGCAAACAGG
rnacentral:rRNA from 1 species